AUGCUCACUUCGGCAGCACGUAUAGCAAAAUCAGAACAAUACAGAGAAGAUUAGCAUGGCCCCUGUCCGUGCAAGGAUGACAUGCAAAUUCUUGAAGCAUUUCAUAUUUUU